GGCGGAUGCCUAGGCUUUCAGAGGCGAAGAAGGACGUGGUAAGCUGCGAAAAGCUGCGGGGAUCGGCACACACGAAUUGAUCCGCAGAUGUCCGAAUGGGGCAACCCGGCUGGUUGAAGAUCAGUCACUCUAAUUUAUUAGAGAGCAAACCCGGAGAACUGAAACAUCUAAGUACCCGGAGGAAAAGAAAUCGAAGAGAUUCCGUAAGUAGUGGCGAGCGAAAGCGGAUUAGCCCAAAAGUCUUUAUAUGUUUAGAAGAAUGUUCUGGAAAGAACAGCCAUAGAGGGUGAUAGCCCCGUAAUUGAAAGGCAUAUUUGGAUGAUAAAUGAGUAGGGCGGGACACGUGAAAUCCUGUCUGAAUAUGGGGGGACCAUCCUCCAAGGCUAAAUACUCCUGAAAGACCGAUAGUGAACAAGUACUGUGAAGGAAAGGUGAAAAGCACUUCGAAUAGAAGGGUGAAAGAGAACCUGAAACCGUACGCCUACAAGCGGUCGGAGCCCACAAGUUGGGUGACGGCGUGCCUUUUGCAUAAUGAGCCUACGAGUUAAUUUUACUAGCGAGCUUAAGUACUUCAGGUACGGAGGCGGAGCGAAAGCGAGUCUGAAUAGGGCGCUUAGUUAGUAGGAUUAGACGCGAAACCUUGUGAUCUACCCAUGGGCAGGUUGAAGCUUUGGUAACACAAAGUGGAGGACCGAACCGGUUGACGUUGAAAAGUCUUCGGAUGACUUGUGGGUAGGGGUGAAAGGCCAAUCAAACUGGGAGAUAGCUCGUACUCCCCGAAAUGCAUUUAGGUGCAGCGUUGCAAUAUAGUUUAUUAGAGGUAGAGCUACUGAUUGGAUGCGGGGGUUUCAUCGCCUACCAAUUCCUGACAAACUCCGAAUGCUAAUAAAUGUUCUGCAGCAGUGAGGGCAUGGGUGCUAAGGUCCAUGUCCGAGAGGGAAAGAACCCGGACCAACAGCUAAGGUCCCCAAAUCUAUACUAAGUUGAAAUAACGCGGUUGAACUGCAUUGACAGCUAGGAUGUUGGCUUGGAAGCAGCCAUUCAUUUAAAGAGUGCGUAACAGCUCACUAGUCGAGCGGUUCGGCAUGGAUAAUAAUCGGGCAUAAGUAUAGUACCGAAGCUAUGGAUUUAUAACUUUUGAGUUAUAUCUGGUAGGGGAGCAUUCUGUUUGCACAGAAGCAGGGUCGUGAGGCCUUGUGGAGCGGACAGAAAAGAAAAUGUAGGCAUAAGUAACGAUAAAGCGGGCGAGAAACCCGCUCACCGAAAGACUAAGGUUUCCUCAGCCAUGCUAAUCAGCUGAGGGUUAGUCGGGACCUAACGCGAACCCGAAAGGGGAAGUGGAUGGACAAUGGGUUAAUAUUCCCAUACUUGCUCACACUAAAAAGGGGACGGAGUGCCGUACUUACUGAAGACUGACGGAAUAGUCAAGACCUAGCCUUCGGGCGAAGUUGUUGUAGGGAAAGUGCUUCCAAGAAAAGCCGAAGUGAAGCAACCCGUACCAAAACCGACACAGGUAGUCGAGGAGAGAAUCCUAAGGUGCUAGAGUGAAUCAUGGUUAAGGAACUAGGCAAAAUAGUCUCGUAACUUCGGAAGAAGGGACGCCAGCAGCAAUGCUGGCCUCAGUAAAGAGGCCCAGGCGACUGUUUAUCAAAAACACAGGACUCUGCUAAAUCGAAAGAUGCUGUAUAGGGUCUGACACCUGCCCGGUGCUGGAAGGUUAAGGAAGGUUGUUAGCGCAAGCGAAGCAAUUAACUGAAGCCCCGGUAAACGGCGGCCGUAACAAUAACGGUCCUAAGGUAGCGAAAUUCCUUGUCGGGUAAGUUCCGACCUGCACGAAUGG
rnacentral:rRNA from 1 species